rnacentral:piRNA from 1 species
UCACUGAUAAGUCAAUUCGCUGCCAUUA